rnacentral:rRNA from 1 species
UACGGAGGGUGCAAGCGUUAUCCGGAUUCACUGGGUUUAAAGGGUGCGUAGGUGGGUCGGUAAGUCAGUGGUGAAAUCCCCGAGCUUAACUUGGGAACUGCCAUUGAUACUAUCGAUCUUGAAUACUGUGGAGGUCAGCGGAAUAUGUCAUGUAGCGGUGAAAUGCUUAGAUAUGACAUAGAACACCAAUUGCGAAGGCAGCUGGCUACACAAAUAUUGACACUGAGGCACGAAAGCGUGGGGAUCAAACAGG